UGAAGGCCUUAGGGUUGUAAAGCUCUGUCAGGGGGAACGAAAAAGCCAGUUAAUACCUGGUAUUGACGGUACCCUCAAAGGAAGCACCGGCUAACUCUGUGC
rnacentral:rRNA from 1 species